rnacentral:sRNA from 1 species
CGGUUCCUGAUACAACACUUGUCCAACACUAUGGACAACUUCUUUUGCAUGGAAACAGUCAAACAUUAGAUGAAGCAAGAGGAAUCUUUUUUAUUGGAUAUUUUAUAUAUUUACCUUUCAAAUGUUAUUCCCUUUCUCCCCUCAUCCAUUGCCCCUCUCCCUACCUUUGCUUCUAUGAAGAUGCUCCCACUCCUACCCACCAACUCCCAUGUCAAUGCCCUGGGGAAACGAUCCUUCACAGGAACAAGGACUUCUGCUCCUAUUGAUGCCAGGAAUUGAGGGACUCGAAGAGGAUGGGGACAAUUCAGGAAGACAAACACAGUCAACUAAUGAAUCCUUGGAAACUCCUAAAGACUGAAUCACCAAACAAAAGAACAAAAGAUGAGCACAGGCUUGACCUAGGACCCUCGCUCUCUGGUAGCCUUCUCCAAAAGUGUCUAAUUGUUCUCCAAAUGUUCUGACAGCUCCCACGUCAAAAUAGAAAAAAAGUUGUUAUAUAAAGGGCCUGAUUGAAUACAGCAAAUACAGAGGCGAAUGCCAGCAGCAAACCACUGAACUGAGA